rnacentral:rRNA from 1 species
AUGGGAUCGAUUGGCAACAGGAUAUCCAAAGUUGGUACGCGUUUCAUAAAUUCGGAUGAGGCUUGGCGGUUCUGGGUGCAAUAUGGAGGUCACAUAGGCUUUGAUGUGAGGAAAAGAAAUACCAUCAGAAGCAGAACUGAUGGAACAAUCACUUCAUGUAGGUUUGUUUGUUCCAAUGAAGGCAUUCGAAGGAAAAGUCAAAUAGAUCACGAGCCGAAGCGCAUUAGAGCUGAAACAAGAACCAAUUGUAAAGUUCGGAUGAUUGUUCAUUUGAUCGAUUUGCAAAAAAAAAGUCACCGAAGUUGA